GGUGGUGCUUGCACCGCCUGAUUAGUGGCGAACGGGUGAGUAACACGUGAGUAACCUGCCCUCCACUUCGGGAUAACCUCGGGAAAUCGUGGCUAAUACCGGAUAUGAGCACUCAUCGCAUGGUGGGUGUUGGAAAGAUUUAUCGGUGGGGGAUGGACUCGCGGCCUAUCAGUUUGUUGGUGAGGUGAUGGCUCACCAAGACGAUGACGGGUAGCCGGCCUGAGAGGGCGACCGGCCACACUGGGACUGAGACACGGCCCAGACUCCUACGGGAGGCAGCAGUGGGGAAUAUUGCACAAUGGGCGAAAGCCUGAUGCAGCGACGCCGCGUGGGGGAUGACGGCCUUCGGGUUGUAAACCCCUUUCGGUAGGGAAGAAGCGAGAGUGACGGUACCUGCAGAAGAAGCGCCGGCUAACUACGUGCCAGCAGCCGCGGUAAUACGUAGGGCGCAAGCGUUGUCCGGAAUUAUUGGGCGUAAAGAGCUUGUAGGUGGCUUGUCGCGUCUGCCGUGAAAACCCGAGGCUCAACCUCGGGCGUGCGGUGGGUACGGGCAGGCUAGAGUGUGGUAGGGGAGACUGGAACUCCUGGUGUAGCGGUGAAAUGCGCAGAUAUCAGGAAGAACACCGAUGGCGAAGGCAGGUCUCUGGGCCAUUACUGACACUGAGAAGCGAAAGCAUGGGUAGCGAACAGGAUUAGAUACCCUGGUAGUCCAUGCCGUAAACGUUGGGCACUAGGUGUGGGGGACAUUCCACGUUUUCCGCGCCGUAGCU
rnacentral:rRNA from 1 species